ACCGAACCGAACCGAAACCAACCCGAUAUCCGGAUUGAACACCCGUAAUCCAAAUGAAGCUAAACUAUUGUUUCAUUCUCCAAAAUAUAAUAAAAAUAAUAAUUUAAUCCCGCGCAAGGCGCGGGUCUUAUUCUAGUGUAUAUUAUAAUACGAUACUAAUACUUAAUAUAACGUGGAUAGAUUCUUACGUACAUGUACAUGAAGUGGCACUGGCCCAUCAACUACCAUUCCAAUAUUAUGUCGCAUAUUAUAGCUAUAUAGGUGAAUUUUAUGUAUAAUAAUCGAUAUAUAAAUAUAUAAUGUGUAUGGCAAUAUGAAUGUGUGGCUUAUUGGCAUGCAUUUGCCUUCACCUUUCAACUAUUUAGGAUUCAAAGGGCUUCGUUUGUUACGUAACAAAGAUAUGGAAAAAUGGGACAGUAAUCUCUACGUGACGAUUUUAUUUUAUAACAUAUACACAAAUCAAUCAUAUUUUAUAUGAAGAAAAUUAGGUAAAGAUCGCAUUUAUGUGGCUGCAUGCUCUAUUAUUGCCUAACUCUUUUGUCCAUGUGGCCUAAAUACAGGCAGCGAGUAUUUAUAAGAGUUAUUAAAAACAAUGAAAUCGCUGAUGUUUACUAUCUAAUCUGGAUUUCCUCGACGUCGUCAGUGUUUUUAUCCGUAGUGAGUUUCUAAUCGAUAUAUUUUUAUUAUAUAAUUAAUCCACUACAAGAAAACAAUGCCAACUCCGACAAAAGUUUUUGAGAAAGUGAAUUAUCAGAAGAUUUGCUUGGUCUUUGUGAGAAAUUACCGAGAAAAUAUCAAUUGUAUCAGAAAGUUCUCGGUAAAUUCCGAUGAACAGAACUUGUCGGAAUUUUGUCAGUUCAUAUCGUCGGAAUUUUGUGGUUAUAAAAGAAAAAAGUUUCCGAGAAAUUUCAUCCCUCGGAGAAUUGUUGAUAUCCUCUCGGAAAUCACCGACGACAAGGAAGCCUCAAAAAUUUGUCGGAGAAAUUGACGGUAAACCAUCGUAAUAGUUUCCGAGACGAGAUCGACGACAACCAAUCCCACUAAUUUCUCGGACUUACUCAAGGAAUCAACUCUCAACAGAAACAUAAAUUUGUUUGGCAGAUCUGACGAGUUUGGGGAUGUUUGUUGAUGGAGGAAACCGGCGGCUCUAUUGUAGGAAUGGGUUGGCUUGCAAAAUUGUCUCCUCCACCACGAACUAUUCUCCUAGCAGCGUUGAUUCCGGCGGCGGCUAGAGCUUCACGGUGGCAGAUCUGGUGGACGACGACAUUUUCUUCUUCGGUGGCUAAGGUCUUGUAGGUAUCCGGUUUUGUUUUGGUUUUUUGAAUUCCAAUUUUGGUAAACCGAUUCUAAUCUCCAAUAAGGGUGGUAUAUAUGUAUAAUGUAUUAUAUAUAGUUUGUAUACACAUGUUAUUUUUUUGAACAUAUAUAUAGUUAUAUACACAUGUAUAUGCUGCCA